rnacentral:rRNA from 1 species
GACGAACGCUGGCGGCGUGCUUAACACAUGCAAGUCGAACGGAAAGGCCCCCUUGUGGGGUACUCGAGCGGCGAACGGGAGAGUAACACGUGAGUAACCUACCCUUGACUUUGGGAUAACUUCAGGCAACUGGGGCUAAUACCGGAUAGGAGCUCCUGCUGCAUGGCGGGGGUUGGUAUGCUUCGGCGGUUGGGGCUGGACUCGCGGCUUAUCAGCUUGUUGGUGGGGUAGUGGCACACCAAGGCUUUGACGGGUAGCCGGCCUGAGUGGGUGACCGGCCACAUUGGGACUGAGAUACGGCCCAGACUCCUACGGGAGGCAGCAGUGGGGAAUAUUGCACAAUGGGCGGAAGCCUGAGGCAGCAACGCCGCGUGCGGGAUGACGGCCUUCGGGUUGUAAACCGCUUUCGCCUGUGACGAAGCGUGAGUGACGGUAAUGGGUAAAGAAGCACCGGCUAACUACGUG